UGUGGAUUGACCUAAAGUGAAAGAUUUUGGAGAACUCACUGGGGCUACCUGGGGGUCUCGGACAAAGGCCCGCCCAGGCUGGGGCGGGAAGAGACCUCGCUACCCUUCUGUUGUGUCCCCGCAGACCUGUAGUCAGAAGAGUCCGCCUGGGAGGAAUCGAGCCUGGGAGAUCGCUCGGGAGGGUCUGGAGAGCGGCGCUGGCUGGAUGCUGUUCGGGCCCAUUAGAUCAAGCGAGCCCAGUGCCUCCAGUAGCAGGAGUUUGGCAGGUUGGUGCACAGCGAUUGCUGUGAUAAAGUUCUGAUGACUGCGCCAGGGUCUGGGGGUGCACACUGGCUUCUGGAGGGUGCUGGUCUUGGAUCUCGUCCCUGCUUAACAGUAUGUGACUUGGGAGAGGAUCCUGGAUGACCAUCUUUCUUCUGAUGGCGAUAGGCUGGAUGCUAGGAUAAAAUCCUGCCCAGACACCUCCCCCAACUCUAGUCCUUAGCCUUUAGUUUAGUUGCCUGGGGCCAAGGGUAGGGUGGAGGAAGAUUUAAGGAGAGGAAGUAGUCUGUCCUCUUGUUAGGGACCAGAGUGGUUGAGGGUGAAGAUGGAAUCCAUGUGUGACCCAACUACUAUCUGGUUAGGAGUGUGACCACUGAGCCUUGGGCAGUGCUUCUUCAUCCCACCUUCCCUUCCCAUCUCUGGAACUCUUCCAAUGGUGGGAUUGGGCAGCUCAAUAUGGUAAGGGGCAGGGCAGAGGGUAUGGCCAAUAAACAGCAGGGAACUUUC